UUCCAGACUCCUACGGGAGGCAGCAGUGGGGAAUAUUGCACAAUGGGGGAAACCCUGAUGCAGCGACGCCGCGUGAAGGAUGAAGUAUUUCGGUAUGUAAACUUCUAUCAGCAGGGAAGAAAAUGACGGUACCUGACUAAGAAGCCACGGCUAACUACGUGCCAGCAGCCGCGGUAAUACGUAGGUGGCAAGCGUUAUCCGGAUUUACUGGGUGUAAAGGGGGCGCAGACGGCGAUGCAAGCCAGGAGUGAAAGCCCGGGGCCCAACCCCGGGACUGCUCUUGGAACUGCGCGGCUGGAGUGCAGGAGGGGCAGGCGGAAUUCCUGGUGUAGCGGUGAAAUGCGUAGAUAUCAGGAGGAACACCGGUGGCGAAGGCGGCCUGCUGGACUGCGACUGACGUUGAGGCCCGAAAGCGUGGGGAGCAAACAGGAUUAGAUACCCCCGUA
rnacentral:rRNA from 1 species